ncrna:unclassified sequences DTF805b RNA
AAGGCGGUCACCGAAAAGCCUUUGAAUAGAGUAGGUG